rnacentral:rRNA from 1 species
AGUGAACGCUGGCGGUAGGCCUAACACAUGCAAGUCGAACGGCAGCACGGUAAUAGCUUGCUCUGACGGGUGGGGAGGGGCGGACGAGUGAGGGAUACGUGGGAAGCUGCGGGUGAGUGGUGGGUGACGGAGGGAAACUUACGCCAAUAGCGCAGAGGGCCUAAGGGUGGAAGCAGGGGAUCUUCGGAUCUUGCGCGGGUGGAUGGGCGGGUGGCGGAUUAGGUAGGUGGGGGGGUAAAGGCCCACCGAGGCGACGAUCCGUAGCUGGUCUGAGAAGAUGAACCGGCACACCGGAAAUGAGACACGGUCCAGACUCCUACGGGAGGCAAGAGUGGGGAAUUUUUGACAAUGGGCGCAAGCCUGAUCCAGCCAUACCGGGUGGGUGAAGAAGGCCUUCGGGUUGGUAAGCCCUUUUGUUCGGAAAGAAAAGCAGCAGGUUCAUACCCAGCUUUUCUGACGGUACCCAACGAAUAAGCCCCGGCUAACUUCGUG